AUAUAUCUAUCAAAUAUAUAU
rnacentral:misc_RNA from 1 species